AUUGAACGCUGGCGGCAGGCCUAACACAUGCAAGUCGAGCGGAUGAAGGGAGCUUGCUCCUGGAUUCAGCGGCGGACGGGUGAGUAAUGCCUAGGAAUCUGCCUGGUAGUGGGGGAUAACGUCCGGAAACGGGCGCUAAUACCGCAUACGUCCUGAGGGAGAAAGUGGGGGAGCUUCGGACCUCACGCUAUCAGAUGAGCCUAGGUCGGAUUAGCUAGUUGGUGGGGUAAAGGCCUACCAAGGCGACGAUCCGUAACUGGUCUGAGAGGAUGAUCAGUCACACUGGAGCUGAGACACGGUCCAGACUCCUACGGGAGGCAGCAGUGGGGAAUAUUGGACAAUGGGCGAAAGCCUGAUCCAGCCAUGCCGCGUGUGUGAAGAAGGUCUUCGGAUUGUAAAGCACUUUAAGUUGGGAGGAAGGGCAGUAAGUUAAUACCUUGCUGUUUUGACGUUACCAACAGAAUAAGCACCGGCUAACUUCGUG
rnacentral:rRNA from 1 species